rnacentral:rRNA from 1 species
AGCCCUAAAUCUUGAUGGCCCCCAAACACAAACAUCCGCCUGAGAACUACGAGCACAAACGCUUAAAACUCUAAGGACUUGGCGGUGCUCUAAACCCACCUAGAGGAGCCUGUUCUGUAAUCGAUAACCCACGAUUCACCCGACCACUUCUUGCCAAAACAGCCUAUAUACCGCCGUCACCAGCCCACCUCGUGAGAGCACAACAGUGAGCCCAACAGCCCACAGUCCACUAACAAGACAGGUCGAGGUAUAGCCUAUGAAGUGGGAGAAAUGGGCUACAUUUUCUAAAAUAGAAAACCCAACGAAAGGGGACUUGAAACCUGUCCCCAGAAGGCGGAUUUAGCAGUAAAGCAGGAUAACCAAGCCUCCUUUAAGUCGGUCCUAGAGCA